CCUCCAGAGGCAGCUGUCAACAUCUAGGCCUGCUGUUGAGGCCAGAGUGGAAGAAAGAGCUUGGCUUAUGAUGACUCGGCUCUGUUGGGA
rfam:Loxodonta africana cont3.4789, whole genome shotgun sequence.